UGGGGAAUCUUGCACAAUGGGGGAAACCCUGAUGCAGCGACGCCGCGUGAACGAUGAAGCCCUUCGGGGUGUAAAGUUCUUUCGACGGGGACGAUAAUGACGGUACCCGGAGAAGAAGCUGCGGCUAACUACGUGCCAGCAGCCGCGGUAAUACGUAGGCAGCAAGCGUUGUUCGGAAUUACUGGGCGUAAAGAGUGCGUAGGUGGUUGGCCAAGUUUGGUGUGAAAUCUCCCGGCUUAACUGGGAGGGUGCGCCGAAAACUGGUUGACUAGAGUGUGGGAGAGGGACGUGGAAUUCCUGGUGUAGCGGUGAAAUGCGUAGAUAUCAGGAGGAACACCUGCGGUGUAGACGGCGUCCUGGACCAUGACUGACACUGAGGCACGAAAGCGUGGGGAGCAAACA
rnacentral:rRNA from 1 species